UACGAAGGGGGCUAGCGUUGCUCGGAAUUACUGGGCGUAAAGGGAGCGUAGGCGGACACUUAAGUCAGAGGUGAAAUCCCGGAGCUUAACUUCGGAACUGCCUUUGAUACUGGGUGUCUUGAGUGUGAGAGAGGUAUGUGGAACUCCGAGUGUAGAGGUGAAAUUCGUGGAUAUUCGGAAGAACACCAGUGGCGAAGGCGACAUACUGGCUCAUUACUGACGCUGAGGCUCGAAAGCGUGGGGAGCAAACAGG
rnacentral:rRNA from 1 species